rnacentral:lncRNA from 1 species
AUGCUAAGAAGACUUACUACUAAGGAACUCCUGCUGUUAGCAGUUACUCUCCCAAGGGUACAUACCUUUGAGAGAGACUUACACGUGUGCCAGGAGAUGGAUGUAAAAUUGUCAUAGUGACAUUGUAACAGGAGGAAAAAAAAGGAAAAACAAAGCCUGGGAAGACGCCACGUCUGUUGGAUGCGUUGUGUGUGGAAUUGCACGUAGUGAAACAGCUCCUGUGUGGACAUGGACGACCUGACACCAGUGUCCGAGGAGUGAGUCACAGAAGGCUGUGUCUGCUGCACUCUCUCGGAAGCUGAGGCAGGCUGUUAAGUACAUGGCAACCAGAGAAAAAUAAGGAAAUGAUGGGAGCACAACUCACUGUCAGCUGGUACCCUGGAAGCUUGAAGAGGGGGAGAUGUGAUCUCAGGGGGCAAGAGAUCUGCUGAAUUGGGGAUACUAUUUCUGAAGCUGGUGGGGCAUUUAAACAAUGUUAUGUGGUUUUGUAUGUAUGAUAUUUUUAAAUAAAAUUUAAAUUUUAAAAAAUGAGAAAAG